rnacentral:lncRNA from 1 species
CUAUACCACAUCUACAAUCGUUUUGACAGAUGAAUUUGAAUGCUAAUAUUUCAUAAAUAGCAUUUUUGGAGGAUGGAACGAGGCAUCAUGCGCAGUAUGGAAACCUAUCACCAAAAUACAUCUUAAUAUCAGUAAACUAUAGUCACACCAGGGGCGGAUUUCAGAAAGAGGGGCUGCAUCUGACACCACUGUCGUGUUAUUUUCAGAUGUCAGUGUAUAUCCCACCUCUGUAAUGAUUAUUUCCCUGAGGGGAUCUGAACCCAUGCAUCACUCCACAUUUGAACAAAUCUAUCGCUUUACAGAAGCCUGAGCGUUAGGAAAACCUGCCUUUUUCUGCCGCUUCUUCUCUGGGAGAAAAAGACAAGACCUACUGCAAACCUGCCGCCCUCCCCAUAUCCUGCCGUUCUUUGGGUGCUGUGUCCGUCUGUCUGGAGACCCUGCUUGCAGUUACCUGCUUCUGUGAAGGAGCUUAGCUCGGCUCUUGAAGUGAAGACUUUCAGGUGUGCUCUCCUCCUUCAGUUUCAAGCUACUCUCAUUUAAAUCUGUGUUCAAGUACGUCUUGGCCACACUGAUAACUGGUAGUGUGUUUACUUCCAUUUAUUUAACUUAGCUGGUGUUUUGCAUUCUUAAUUGAAAGGGUUUCAGUAUUGCCCCCUCACCAUUUAGUGCAAGGUUUCAUUUGCUGAAGGAACUGAAAAGAAUUUAUUAGACCUGCUGGUUGUACUAAAAAGGGUUAGAUUUCCAAAUAUUGGAGGAGCUAGCUGCCUGAGUUAAGUGUCUGAAAAUACUGUCUGGAUUAUUUUUACCUAUUUAAGCAACAUUUGAACAUAUAAUGUUUUCUACCCCUUUUAGUUUAACUUUUGCUUUCUAAUUUCUCUCUAAUUAAAGAAGCUAAAAUCCUAUUUGAUUUUGGAAUGUUUGCUCAGUCAGUUUGUGUCAAUUUAUCAACAUCUACAUGUGCUGUAAAAUCACUGUUAAGUACUGGAUAUCCAGCCA